rnacentral:rRNA from 1 species
UACAGAGGUCUCAAGCGUUGUUCGGAUUCAUUGGGCGUAAAGGGUGCGUAGGCGGCGCGGUAAGUCGGAUGUGAAAUCUCGGGGCUUAACUCCGAAACUGCAUUCGAUACUACCGUGCUUGAGGACUGGAGAGGAGACUGGAAUUUACGGUGUAGCGGUGAAAUGCGUAGAUAUCGUAAGGAAGACCAGUGGCGAAGGCGGGUCUCUGGACAGUUCCUGACGCUGAGGCACGAAGGCCAGGGGAGCAAACGGG